rnacentral:lncRNA from 1 species
UUUACCUUCCCCAUUUAUUCACAUUCACCCACAAUUAUUCACUUUUCAACCACUUAUUUUUCCAACUUCCAAAAUUUUUCCUAUAAAUACCCACCAAAUCUUCCUUCAUUCACCACAAAACCAUUCUCUAAUAUCAAAUACAUUUCUUUUCUUUCCAAAUUACUCCUUCAAAUUCAUUCAUCACUAUGGCGGAAAACCAGAAUUUCGGAAAUAUCAUCUUCCGA